rnacentral:rRNA from 1 species
UACAGAGGGUGCAAACGUUGCUCGGAAUUAUUGGGCGUAAAGCGCGUGUAGGCGGCUUGUUAAGUUGGUUGUGAAAACCCAUGGCUCAACCAUGGAAGUGCGUCCAAAACUGGCAAGCUAGAGUCCCGACGAGGAUGGCGGAAUUCCCAGUGUAGAGGUGAAAUUCGUAGAUAUUGGGAGGAACACCGGUGGCGAAGGCGGCCAUCUGGCAGGGCACUGACGCUGAGACGCGAAAGCGUGGGUAGCAAACAGG